ACGCCGUUCAGGUCUGCCGGAGCGGCACGUCGACAUGCACACGCGCGAGCGAGUGUGCUGUGCAUCGCACUGUCGCGGCGCGACGGACAACUCCUCAUCAGAGCCAGCAGCAAAGGAACGCUCGCGCGUCUCUUCAGCACCGUUGACGCCUCCUAGCUUCAAGAGGUGUUCUGCUCAAAGUAGCUAGCACUGCAAGUGUUUCAAAGGAUGGACUCGGACAGUGAGACCUGAUCCUCACUUUCGACGUGUAGAGAAGCAGCUUGCAGGCAAGAAUUUUCGCUCGUAAGCAGCCCCAGCCCAGGCAAUUCUUGUGAGUUGUGACAACGUGAGGAAUACUCUUGGUAUGUACCGGAUCAACACAAUCAUUGAUAGUGUGUUGUUGGUGUGAUUCAACGAGGAGGUGCUCACAGCUUCUAUGCAAACACGAUAUAUCAUGCUUGGCAAUAUCCAUCAGAUGGGGCCUAUUCUACAA